GCCACACAGUCAGUAUGGUGGAUAUGACUCUCGGCUUGUAACACAGUGGACUCGGGUUCGAAUCCCGAACUAGGCA